rnacentral:tRNA from 1 species
GCGAGGGUGGCGGAAUUGGCAGACGCGCCAGGUUUAGGUCCUGGUGUCCAAUGGACAUGCGGGUUCGAGUCCCGCUCCUCGCA